rnacentral:rRNA from 1 species
GCAGUGGGAGCACAGGUUUACCUGUGUGACUGCGUACCUUUUGUAUAAUGGGUCAGCGACUUAUAUUCUGUAGCAAGGUUAACCGUAUAGGGGAGCCGGAGGGAAACCGAGUCUUAACCGGGCGUUAAGUUGCAGGGUAUAGACCCGAAACCCGGUGAUCUAGCCAUGGGCAGGUUGAAGGUUGGGUAACACUAACUGGAGGACCGAACCGACUAAUGUUGAAAAAUUAGCGGAUGACCUGUGGCUGGGGGUGAAAGGCCAAUCAAACCGGGAGAUAGCUGGUUCUCCCCGAAAGCUAUUUAGGUAGCGCCUCGUGAAUUCAUCUCCGGGGGUAGAGCACUGUUUCGGCUAGGGGGCCAUCCCGGCUUACCAACCCGAUGCAAACUGCGAAUACCGGAGAAUGUUAUCACGGGAGACACACGGCGGGUGCUAACGUCCGUCGUGAAGAGGGAAACAACCCAGACCGCCAGCUAAGGUCCCAAAGUCAUGGUUAAGUGGGAAACGAUGUGGGAAGGCCCAGACAGCCAGGAUGUUGGCUUAGAAGCAGCCAUCAUUUAAAGAAAGCGUAAUAGCUCACUGGUCGAGUCGGCCUGCGCGGAAGAUGUAACGGGGCUAAACCAUGCACCGAAGCUGCGGCAGCGACACUCAGGUGUUGUUGGGUAGGGGAGCGUUCUGUAAGCCUGUGAAGGUGGCCUGUGAGGGUUGCUGGAGGUAUCAGAAGUGCGAAUGCUGACAUAAGUAACGAUAAAGCGGGUGAAAAGCCCGCUCGCCGGAAGACCAAGGGUUCCUGUCCAACGUUAAUCGGGGCAGGGUGAGUCGACCCCUAAGGCGAGGCCGAAAGGCGUAGUCGAUGGGAAACGGGUUAAUAUUCCCGUACU